ensembl:lncRNA
GUCCAGAUGGUCAGUACUGUGUCUAGAUGGUCAGUACUGUGUCUAGGCAGUCAUGGGACAGUGGUUGGGUUUGGGUGAGUAGAGACGAAAGAGGUAGAAAGGAGAGGAGUAGAGAGGAGAGGAGUAGGAGUCUCCAACAUGCAGAGUGACCCACUGGUAGAGCAUGCUGGGGGCUAGCUAGCUAGCAUCCGUUAACAGGUGAGCUAACAGGUGACAGGUAAAUCACAACUGAACUCAUGCAAGAUUCAAAACAAGGAGCAGCCCGCUAUCUGAGAACAUGUGUAGAAACCCUGCAUGGGGGACCCUCAAUGUCAAUCACAUUUAGAAUCGGGAGAAAUA